CUGGUGCCCAUGGCAACCUCAGGGGCACUGCCCUGGACGCCUGGGAGGAACACACCCUGGGGGCAAUUGGGAGUAACUGGGAACCCUGAGGGACUUGUGUUAGCCAGAGAUGACAGAAUGUGGGAAGCAGGUCUGCUAUCACAGCCCUGCGCUGAAAACCAGAGGAACUGCUGCAAAGUUUGGAGUAGCAUGGAAGACUGAAACCAUACUAUUUGAGGGCAGACUCUCCCAGUGUCUCAUCAAGUCAUCUCUUGAUUCUUGAGCUAUAUCUUUGAAAGCCAUCUAGACAUCACAGGAAGCCCUUGGAUGAGCAAGACAAACACUGAACUUAGGAUGAGCAGCAGAGUUCCUGGCAUCCAGGCAUCCAUCAUUAACAGAGGCGUCC